rnacentral:rRNA from 2 species
AGACCCGAAACCCGGUGAUCUAGCCAUGGGCAGGUUGAAGGUUGGGUAACACUAACUGGAGGACCGAACCGACUAAUGUUGAAAAAUUAGCGGAUGACCUGUGGCUGGGGGUGAAAGGCCAAUCAAACCGGGAGAUAGCUGGUUCUCCCCGAAAGCUAUUUAGGUAGCGCCUCGUGAAUUCAUCUCCGGGGGUAGAGCACUGUUUCGGCUAGGGGGCCAUCCCGGCUUACCAACCCGAUGCAAACUGCGAAUACCGGAGAAUGUUAUCACGGGAGACACACGGCGGGUGCUAACGUCCGUCGUGAAGAGGGAAACAACCCAGACCGCCAGCUAAGGUCCCAAAGUCAUGGUUAAGUGGGAAACGAUGUGGGAAGGCCCAGACAGCCAGGAUGUUGGCUUAGAAGCAGCCAUCAUUUAAAGAAAGCGUAAUAGCUCACUGGUCGAGUCGGCCUGCGCGGAAGAUGUAACGGGGCUAAACCAUGCACCGAAGCUGCGGCAGCGAACGUAUCACCCAAGACAACUUUACGGAGUUGACGAUUGACGGAGCGAAGCGACGUCAAAGCGUUCAUUAAAGUCGAGUUGGCUUAGGGAUACGUUCGUUGGGUAGGGGAGCGUUCUGUAAGCCUGUGAAGGUGUGUCGUGAGGCAUGCUGGAGGUAUCAGAAGUGCGAAUGCUGACAUAAGUAACGAUAAAGCGGGUGAAAAGCCCGCUCGCCGGAAGACCAAGGGUUCCUGUCCAACGUUAAUCGGGGCAGGGUGAGUCGACCCCUAAGGCGAGGCCGAAAGGCGUAGUCGAUGGGAAACGGGUUAAUAUUCCCGUACUUGGUGUUACUGCGAAGGGGGGACGGAGAAGGCUAUGUUGGCCGGGCGACGGUUGUCCCGGUUUAAGCGUGUAGGUGUGUGUUCCAGGUAAAUCCGGUUCACUUUAACACUGAGGCGUGACGACGAGGCACUACGGUGCUGAAGCAACAAAUGCCCUGCUUCCAGGAAAAGCCUCUAAGCAUCAGGUAACAUCAAAUCGUACCCCAAACCGACACAGGUGGUCAGGUAGAGAAUACCAAGGCGCUUGAGAGAACUCGGGUGAAGGAACUAGGCAAAAUGGUGCCGUAACUUCGGGAGAAGGCACGCUGACACGUAGGUGAAGUGAUUUACUCAUGGAGCUGAAGUCAGUCGAAGAUACCAGCUGGCUGCAACUGUUUAUUAAAAACACAGCACUGUGCAAACACGAAAGUGGACGUAUACGGUGUGACGCCUGCCCGGUGCCGGAAGGUUAAUUGAUGGGGUCAGCGCAAGCGAAGCUCCUGAUCGAAGCCCCGGUAAACGGCGGCCGUAACUAUAACGGUCCUAAGGUAGCGAAAUUCCUUGUCGGGUAAGUUCCGACCUGCACGAAUGGCGUAAUGAUGGCCAGGCUGUCUCCACCCGAGACUCAGUGAAAUUGAACUCGCUGUGAAGAUGCAGUGUACCCGCGGCAAGACGGAAAGACCCCGUGAACCUUUACUAUAGCUUGACACUGAACAUUGAGCCUUGAUGUGUAGGAUAGGUGGGAGGCUUUGAAGUGUGGACGCCAGUCUGCAUGGAGCCGACCUUGAAAUACCACCCUUUAAUGUUUGAUGUUCUAACGUGGACCCGUAAUCCGGGUUGCGGACAGUGUCUGGUGGGUAGUUUGACUGGGGCGGUCUCCUCCUAAAGAGUAACGGAGGAGCACGAAGGUUGGCUAAUCCUGGUCGGACAUCAGGAGGUUAGUGCAAUGGCAUAAGCCAGCUUGACUGCGAGCGUGACGGCGCGAGCAGGUGCGAAAGCAGGUCAUAGUGAUCCGGUGGUUCUGAAUGGAAGGGCCAUCGCUCAACGGAUAAAAGGUACUCCGGGGAUAACAGGCUGAUACCGCCCAAGAGUUCAUAUCGACGGCGGUGUUUGGCACCUCGAUGUCGGCUCAUCACAUCCUGGGGCUGAAGUAGGUCCCAAGGGUAUGGCUGUUCGCCAUUUAAAGUGGUACGCGAGCUGGGUUUAGAACGUCGUGAGACAGUUCGGUCCCUAUCUGCCGUGGGCGCUGGAGAACUGAGGGGGGCUGCUCCUAGUACGAGAGGACCGGAGUGGACGCAUCACUGGUGUUCGGGUUGUCAUGCCAAUGGCACUGCCCGGUAGCUAAAUGCGGAAGAGAUAAGUGCUGAAAGCAUCUAAGCACGAAACUUGCCCCGAGAUGAGUUCUCCCUGAGACUUAGAGUCUCCUGAAGGAACGUUGAAGACGACGACGUUGAUAGGCC